UCUAGAGGCAAGAAGUCUGAGAUCAAGGUGUCAGCAGGGCUGGUUUCCUCUGAGGGCUGUGCGGGAAGGAUCUGUUCCAGGCCUCUCUGACUUGCCAAGAACCCCAUGUGGGGCUGUGACAGGCAGAAGGAUGGCUCCUUGAAGAUACUCAUGUCCUAAUUCCCAGAACAUGUGAAUAUGCUACUUCAACAGCAAAAGGGACGUUGCAGAUGUAAAUUACGGACCUCGAGACCGGGAGAUUAUUCUGGAUUGUCUGGUGGACCCACUGUAAUCACAAGGUUCAUAUAAGGGAAAUAGGGAAGCAGGAGAGUCGGAGAAGGAGAUGGGAUGAUGGAGGCAGAGGUUGGAGUGAUGCAAUUGCUAGCUUUGAAGGUAGAGGAAGAGACCUUAAGCCAAGGAAUGUGGGUGGCUUCUAGAAGCUAAAAAAAGGCAAACAAACAAACAAACAACAACCCUGCAACAGAUUCUUCCCUAGACCCUCCAGAAGGAACACUGCCUUGCUAACACCUUGAUUUUAGCCCAGUAAAAUUCAUUUUGAACUUCUAACCUGCAGAACCA
rnacentral:lncRNA from 1 species